rnacentral:rRNA from 1 species
GACGAACGCUGGCGGCGUGCUUAAUACAUGCAAGUCGAACGGAAAGGCCCUGCGCUUGUGGGGUGCACGAGAGGCGAACGGGUGUGUAACACGUGUGUAUAAUGCACUUGACUUUGGGGUAACUUCACGGAAAAGCGGAUAAUACCGGAUAGGAGAUCCUGCUGCGCGGGGGGGGAUGGAAAGUUUCGGCGGUUGGGGAUGGACUCGCGGCUUAUCCGCUUGUUGGUGGGGUAGGGGAGUACCAAGGCUUUGACGGGUAGCCCGCCUUAGAGGGUGAACGGCCACAAUGGGACUGAGGUACGGCCCAGACUCCUACGGUAGGCAGCAGUGGGGAAUAUUGCACAGUGGGCGGAAGCCUGAUGCAGCAACGCCGCGUGCGUGAUGACGGCCUUCGGGUGGUAAACCGCUUUCGCCUGUGACGUAGCGUGAGUGACGGUAAUGGGUAAAGAAGCACCGGCUAACUACGUG